AGACGUCUACAUUAGAUACCCGUGUAGUCCCAGCCGUAAACUAUGCGCGUUAGGUGUAUCGGUGACCACGAGUCACCGAGGUGCCGAAGGGAAACCGUGAAACGUGCCGCCUGGGAAGUACGGUCGCAAGGCUGAAACUUAAAGGAAUUGGCGGGGAGCACCACAACAGGUGGAGCCUGCGGUUUAAUUGGACUCAACGCCGGGAAGCUCACCGGAUAGGACAGCAGAAUGAUUGCCGGGCUGAAGACUCUGCAUGACUAGCUG
rnacentral:rRNA from 1 species